rnacentral:rRNA from 1 species
UACGAAAGGUGCAAGCGUUACUCGGAAUCACUGGGCGUAAAGCGCACGUAGGCGGACUGGUAGGUCAAUUGUGAAAUACCUGGGCUCAACCCGGGAAUGGCAGUUGAAACCGCCUGUCUUGAAUACCUGAGAGGGUGGGGGAAUACCUGGUGGAGAAGUGAAAUUCGUAGAGAUCAGGUGGAACACCGGAGGCGAAGGCGCCUGCCUGGCAGUGUAUUGACGCUGAGGUGCGAAAGUGCGGGGAGCAAACAGG